CCUACGGGUGGCAGCAGUGGGGGAUAUUGCACAAUGGGGGGAACCCUGAUGCAGCGACGCCGCGUGGGUGAAGAAGCGCCUCGGCGCGUAAAGCCCUGUCAGCAGGGAAGAAAAUGACGGGACCUGAAGAAGAAGCCCCGGCUAACUACGUGCCAGCAGCCGCGGUAAUACGGGGGGGGCAAGCGUUAUCCGGAUUUAAGGGGUGUAAAGGGGGCGCAGACGGCGAGGCAAGCCAGGAGUGAAAGCCCGGGGCCCAACCCCGGGACUGCGCUGGGAACGGGGUGGCUGGAGGGCAGGAGGGGCAGGCGGAAGUGCUGGUGUAGCGGGGAAAUGCGUAGAUAUCAGGAGGAACACCGGUGGCGAAGGCGGCCUGCUGGACUGCAACUGACGUUGAGGCCCGAAAGCGUGGGGAGCAAACAGGAUUAGAUACCCGAGUAGUC
rnacentral:rRNA from 1 species